AUCUAUAGGAGUGGUGGAAGGCAGUUGUAAGGCUCCGAGUCCAGAUGGUCUGCACUAUUUCUCCAAGUGCACACCAGUAUCCUCAGACCUGGACAACCUUGCCCAACCCUUAACAACCACCACCUCCCCAGACACUCAGGCCGAGAUUGGACAAUACUUUCCGGGGGUUGUACUCUUCUUCUACAUGAAACUCAACCUGACGGUUCCGAACCACCCCAUUCAGGGGGUGGAUCUGACCCCUACUCGGCAUGACGGCACCCGAGCCCUUGAAGACUGGCCUGCGUCCGUACGACAAGCAUAGCGUACGGGAGAACAGGGUGCAUGGAGCAAAACUGCGGUCCCAGGGUUCCCCAUCGGAGAUCCCCCCCUUCGCUGGGUCACUUAGUCCGGCCGGGGUCCCCCCAUAUGGUAGAUGCCAGCCCCCGCCCAUGCGCACUCCCGCGCAGAGGUGGAGACUGAGGGCCUGUGCUGCCGAGCGUCCGCCGGAGGGGUUCUGCGCGAGUUACUCCACUUACCGCGAAGCCAGACGCUGGGCCCGGGUCCGAGCGGAACCGCCGAAGCAGCCGACCCGCCCGGCUAGCCGAGCCCGCCUGCGCCCUCCUCCGAUGUAACAUCGCGCGGGCUGUGUGUGCCCAGUGCCUCCUGGGAGUUGUAGUUUGGCCACGAGGACUUGCGUGGGCUCUUGCCCAUCGGGCUAUCCCCACCCACUUCAAAUAAGUAGUUUAGUUCCCUCCGGUGGUCCCGAAGUUAUCAGUGGCCAAUCAUCGACUCUGCCUUCUGUUUUAUAAAAUGAGCUCCCUGGGAGCAAAGCUUUUGAGAGAGGAAAAACCCUUAGAUCCUAGGGGCCCAUCCUUCAAGCUCCUAACUCAUUCAUGGUCCGCUUGGUUCAAACUCCAGCUCAGCUUCCUUAACACCCGAGGAAAGUAAGCUAAUUUCUCAGUACCCUAAUUUUGGUAUUGGCACAAUGAGGAACUCUGUAGAUUAUAUAAAUUUAUAUAUCCAAGCUGCCUAGAACAGUGCUAGGUGUGGAAUUAGCAUGGGCGUUGCUAUUCCUACCUGCCGGCGAGUUAACAUGACUGGGUGACUCAUGGGAGGUAGGGUGACUCAAAUAAAUAGCUGUCUGCUCUGAGGAAGAAGACGGUGUGAUAAGCUGUCUAGUGGCUGCACAGGAGUUUGUGAGAGAGCCAGGUGUAGGAUACAAGUAGAACAUGGCCAGGCAAGGAAACUGGGACCGGAUAAAAAACAGCCUGGAUGAUUUGAAGGUAUGGCUGGAGCCGAUUGGAAUCUCGGAGGGAGGGGAUUCAUGGAGUGGCCAACAGCUGGAAGUUAGCAACCGCCUAAUGAUUUUGUUUUUAUUGUUUUGAUUGGUGUUUUGAGACCAAUCUCAAAUAGUGAAUCUCACUAUUGUGGAUAGACUGGCCUGGAACUCUCUAUCCUCCUGCCUCAAGCCUGAGACUCUGGCCCUUCCUACCUCAGCCUCAGUUUACCGGCAAGUGCCACCACACCUGGGUUCAAUAAGGGUUUUAAUUAUCCCCUCCUCCUUAGAACCCUCUGGCUGUAGUGAUGGAAACCUGGACCAGCUGGCAAAAAGAACGGAGAAGGAAUUAAUUAAGCAGAAAGAUGAUCAGGGGAGAUUUUUCAGAAUGUGUGUACUGAUUUCUUAAUAUUUAAAGAUAAUAUUAUAAUAAUAUAAACAAGACAGUGGUUUCCUUUGAAAACGUCCCGCCUUGGGGGUGGAAUCCCUCACAUGGCUGACCUGCCUGAGGAAGUCGGGGAAGGUCUGCAGAGACACCUUCCAGACUUACAGAAUCUCUAGGUCUCCUAGUUGAUUCUUCCCCCACUCCAAUCCUCCCCCUUCCCCCCCUUUUUUUACAACUUCCUGGCAACAUCCUGGUGCAAAGCCAGGAGCCAUUCAGCUCUGGCUGGCAGGCAUAACUUUAGCACGUGGAAGAAGAGGGAGAGAAGGGUGACAGCCUUCAUCACAAGCAAAGGACUCUGAGUGGCUGUUAGGUUCCUGGACUUGCCGCUCACGUGGCUGCGGCGUGGAUGGGAGCCACCCCAGGCGGCGACUGUGACAGCCGGUAGGCGGAGGCGUCUGGCAACAGCUUCACCUCAUUUAACCUGGCUCUCCACUAACGCUCCAUCUGAACUGGCUGUAGCUGCCGGCUACCUAGGUUGAGCACACAUGUCCUUAGCUCUUGUUCACAAAGCUGCCGGCUCACAGACGCAAGAAUCGGGACACAGAAAGAUGAAAAGAUUCGUCUCCCCCCCCCCUCUGUCCUCGCCUCCUCACACUCGUUCUGUCCCACACUGGUGGCCUCUCAGUGGUUCACCAAACAUGCUGGGCUUAUUCCAUCUCUCACUGGCUGUUCUCUCUGCAUGGAACACCCUUACCCUAGACAGCCUCAUACCGUGUUUCCUCAUCUCCGGGAUUUUACUCAACUGGAUGAAGCUCACGCUGUCCGUCCUAAUUAAAACUGCGGUCGCGUCCACCUCCCCCGCUCUGCUUUUUCUUCUCUGUACUAUCGUCACCCGUUUCUUUGGUUUUGUUUUGGUUCUAGUUUUUUGA